GAAUUUGGGCAGUUUUGGGGUGGAUUUUGAUGGAUUUUGGGGUCAUUUCAUUGAUUUUUGGGCCAUUUCAGGGAGUUUUGGGGCAAAAUUUUGGGGUUUUGGGGAUUUUUUGGGGGUUUUUUGCCCUGUCCCCCAGAACCCCAAAAAGGCCGAAUUUGGGCAGUUUUGGGGUGGAUUUUGAUGGAUUUUGGGGUCAUUUCAUUGAUUUUUGGGCCAUUUCAGGGAGUUUUGGGGCAAAAUUUUGGGGUUUUGGGGAUUUUUUGGGGGUUUUUUGCCCUGUCCCCCAGAACCCCAAAAAUGCCGAAUUUGGGCAGUUUUCGGGUGGAUUUCGAAGGAUUUUGGGGUCAUUUCGUUCAUUUUUGGGGCAAUUUUGUGGCUUUUGGGGUCAAAUUUGGGGUUUUUUGAGGCUGGGCGUGUCCAACCCUCCCCUGUCCCUGCCCUGUCCCCAAACCCCAAAA